GGGAUUGUAGUAUAGUGGUCAGUACUUCUCGUUGUGGUUCUUUGGUCACUCGCUUCGAGUGGACGAACACAACGAUCCGAGAGGACCCAGGUUCGAUUCCUGGCAAUCCCA
rnacentral:tRNA from 2 species